rnacentral:rRNA from 1 species
UACGUAGGGUGCAAGCGUUGUCCGGAAUUAUUGGGCGUAAAGAGCUCGUAGGCGGUUUGUUGCGUCGGCUGUGAAAUCCCGAGGCUCAACCUCGGGUCUGCAGUCGAUACGAGCAAACUAGAGUGUUGCAGGGGAGACUGGAAUCCCCGGUGUAGCGGUGAAAUGCGCAGAUAUCGGGAAGAACACCCGUGGCGAAGGCGGCUCUCUGGGACGGUACUGACGCUGAGACGCGAAAGCGUGGGGAGCGAACAGG